UCGUAACAAGGUUUCCGUAGGUGAACCUGCGGAAGGAUCAUUACCGAGUGCGGGAACCCAGUCGGGUCCCAAUCUCCCACCCGUGUCUACCACACCUAGUGUUGCUUUGGCGGGCCCACUCCUCCGGUGUUCCGCCGGGGGGGUCGUCCCGGGGCGCGGUGUGCCCCCGGGGCCCGUGCCCGCCAGAGGCACUCACUGUGAACGCUUUUGUGAAUGCGAGGAUUGUCUGAGUGACGAAAUGCAAUCGUUCAAAACUUUCAACAAUGGAUCUCUUGGUUCCGGCAUCGAUGAAGAACGCAGCGAAAUGCGAUAAGUAAUGUGAAUUGCAGAAUUCCGUGAAUCAUCGAAUCUUUGAACGCACAUUGCGCCCUCUGGUAUUCCGGGGGGCAUGCCUGUCCGAGCGUCAUUGCGAACCCUCAAGCACGGCUUGUGUGUUGGGCCGCCGUCCCCUCGUUUGGAGGGGACGGGCCUGAAAGGCAGCGGCGGCGUCGCGUCCGGUCCUCGAGCGUAUGGGGCUCUGUCACGCGCUCAAGGAGGGGUCCGGCCGGGGCCAUAGCCUCUGAAGGUCAAUUCUUCCAAGGUUGACCUCGGAUCAGGUAGGAGUACCCGCUGAACUUAAGCAUAUCAAUAA
rnacentral:misc_RNA from 1 species